rnacentral:rRNA from 1 species
CCUACGGGGGGCAGCAGUGGGGAAUAUUGGACAAUGGGGGGAACCCUGAUCCAGCCAUGCCGCGUGUGUGAAGAAGGCCCUCGGGUUGUAAAGCACUUUCAGUGAGGAAGAACGCCUGGUGGUUAAUACCCAUCAGGAAAGACAUCACUCACAGAAGAAGCACCGGCUAACUCCGUGCCAGCAGCCGCGGUAAUACGGAGGGUGCGAGCGUUAAUCGGAAUUACUGGGCGUAAAGCGCGCGUAGGUGGCUUGAUAAGCCGGUUGUGAAAGCCCCAGGCUCAACCUGGGAACGGCAUCCGGAACUGUCAAGCUAGAGUGCAGGAGAGGAAGGUAGAAUUCCCGGUGUAGCGGUGAAAUGCGUAGAGAUCGGGAGGAAUACCAGUGGCGAAGGCGGCCUUCUGGACUGACACUGACACUGAGGUGCGAAAGCGUGGGUAGAAAACAGGAUUAGAUACCCUUGUAGUC